GCGGAUGUGGUGAUCUCUACGGUUGGACACUCUCUCUUGGGACAUCAGUACAAGAUCAUCUCUGCCAUUAAAGAAGCCGGUAACGUUAAGAGAUUCUUUCCCUCGGAGUUUGGAAAUGAUGUAGACCGUGUUUACACUGUCGAACCCGCCAAGUCAGCCUAUGCCACAAAGGCAAAACUCCGGCGAGCAAUUGAAGCCGAAGGAAUCCCAUACACUUAUGUCUCUUGCAACUUCUUCGCUGGCUACUUCCUCCCAACACUAGCACAGCCCGGUGCUACUUCUGCUCCACGGGAUAAGGUCAUCGUUUUAGGUGAUGGAAACCCCAAAGCUGUGUUCAACAAGGAAGAAGACAUCGGGACUUACACAAUCAAUGCCGU